AUAAAAUACAUAUAUAAAACAUAAUUCAAAUGUUCGCCUCGCGAGUUUUUGCAAACUUCGACCAGUUUGAGGUGAUUUUCGACAACUUUUUGGACCAUUUUGGCCGGUAUCGCAGUCUCAACUAGACAAAUAUUGCUAACAUGUUUUAUACGCAUAAACACAGUCUUUCGAGUAGCACAACAACUAUAAAGUCGAACGGUAUCAAAUCGUACAAUUUCGGUAGCCAAUUAACUUCGCGAAGACAAGUAUUUUACGCGGAGGGAAAAUUUCUCUCGAAAAAACGCCAUAUUCACCAAAUAUGGCAAUUUCGUUUUUUUACAUAUCCGCUGAAUGAGAAACGUGCCUGUUCGCUGAAGAAAAUUUUGUUUAAAAAACCAACGUUCUCUACUUAUUGUUCCAGCACUAAAUCGAUGUAUGAUAUUAAUGAUGAAUGAUCAGCUGGUUUCAGUUGUAGUGUAAGCUAGACUUUUUGUGGAUGAAGUUAACGUGAUCGAUUUGCAAACUAUAAACAACACGGCAGAGCUCCUUCCAAAUUUGUGGUUUUGCGUCUUGAUGUUUUUCCAACAAAUGGAGGGGUCUACAGUUCAUACCAAGCCGCCUCCGAACCGCUGAGGGUUUUUUAUGAGUUGCCUUUAUUUCAAAUCAUAUAUGUAUGUACACUCAAAGGGCUUGACAAUCCCGGCCGAGGGGCGACCGAAAUUAGAAGAAUUAACAUAAUAUUUUAUUCCAAUUUAAAAUAAGUAAUUUGCGAAUGUAAUCAAUAGCUAAAUCACUUUUAUGUUAAUUAAUUUAUAUCUAAAUAAAUUACAACAUAUUUUCGAAAA